CGGACGGGUGAGUAAUGUCUGGGAAACUGCCUGAUGGAGGGGGAUAACUACUGGAAACGGUAGCUAAUACCGCAUAACGUCGCAAGACCAAAGAGAGGGACCUUCGGGCCUCUUGCCAUCAGAUGUGCCCAGAUGGGAUUAGCUUGUUGGUGGGGUAACGGCUCACCAAGGCGACGAUCCCUAGCUGGUCUGAGAGGAUGACCAGCCACACUGGAACUGAGACACGGUCCAG
rnacentral:rRNA from 1 species